rnacentral:rRNA from 1 species
UACGUAGGGUCCGAGCGUUGUCCGGAGUUACUGGGCGUAAAGCGCGCGCAGGCGGCUCGGCAAGCAUGGCGUGAAAGCCCCCGGCUCAACCGGGGAGAGUCGUCGUGGACUGCCGGGCUUGAGGGCGGUAGGGGUUGGUGGAAUUCCCGGUGUAGUGGUGAAAUGCGUAGAGAUCGGGAGGAACACCCGUGGCGAAGGCGGCCAACUGGGCCGACCCUGACGCUGAGGCGCGAAGGCGUGGGGAGCGAGCGGG